GUAGCAUCAUCCAGAAUGAGUACGCGUGGUUUCCGGAUCAGGGCUCGAGCCAAGGCCACUGCCUGUCGCUGACCCCCUGACAGCUGGCUCCCAGCCUCACCCACCUCUGCAGAGACAAGGGCCAAGGCGAGGACUGGAGAAGAAAGGAGAAAAGCGGGGGAAAUACGGCAGCUUCUCCCCUCCCACAGACAUAGAUCGCUCCCCGUGGAGUAGAGAUGAAAGAUGAAACAAAGGCAAAGGCAGAACUUAAGCACCAAGAGCCACAUGCUGGAUCUCAGACACUGCGGGGAAAAAAGAAAAAAUCAUAUUCAAAAGCACAGUUGGAAAGAAAAAGGAAAUACAGAAGACUGGAGACACAGCCUCUGCUUCGGUGAUGCCUUACAGGAGAACCUUCUCCCUAAGGGCAUCCACUCCCAUUCUCCUUGGAAAUCUGGACUAUUCUUGAGUUUGGGGCAGCUUUUUGUUUAUUUAUGUAUGUAUUUUGGCUGUGCUGCAUCUUUACUGCUACAUGCGGACUUUCUCUAGUCACAACAAGCAGGGGCUACUCUAUUUAUGGUGUGUGGACUUGUCUUUGCGGUGGUGUCUCUUGUUACACAGCACAGCCUCGAGAGCACAUGGUCUUAAUUGCCCCAUGGUGUGUGGGAUCCUCCCGGAUCAAGGGUCGAACCCAUGCCCCCAGCAUUGGCAGACGGAUUCUUAACCAGCGGACCACCCAGGGAAAUCCCUGGGGCAGUUUUAGGGGACAAAUGCUGCUCAUCUUUGCCUCUGAAGGGUGAGGGAGGGUCUAUACAUGGUGCUAAGCAGGCUGAAGGCAGGAAGACCAUUUAGGAUGACCGAGUUGAGAGGGAGGCUGGAGGAACGGAGGGAUCUGUAGGUUUUACCUGCAGCACGGGGACAUCCGGACGGUUUGGGUAGGCAAAGGAGACACCCUGGAACUGGACGACGCCGCGCAAAGUUAAGGAAGCCAAUGAUCCACUUUUGGGGCAGUUAGGGACCCGGUCCAGGUAUUCAAAUAUUUUCUCUGAAAAGCCCACAGCCUUCUGUACCCUGGGGUAGCUGGACAGCAGCACCUGGAGGGGAGGUAUGAAUAGUGCGGUGGGACGCAGGAAGGACCCAGUCUGUUGCUAGGGUUACGGGAUGUGAGGAGGGUGAGGGAGGGAAGGGAAGUGACUUGAAUGGCGGUGGUACACAGGAAGGAAAAGCACUGGGGAGUGGCCACGGAGGGACCUCACCUCAACAGCUAUGGUGAACUGGAUCUGGUACAGAAUAAAGGUGACCAGGCGCCCACUGCUGACAGACCCACUUGUCACCAGCUGCCCGCCAAAAUACAGGAUUCCCACCUUCAGUAGCAUCCCUGAGAGCUGUGGAGAGACCACAGAGAAAAAGGGACCGAAGCAGGAAAGUCAAGAACCAGCAUGGCUAAUAU